UCCACGGCGACGGCAACGCCGCUGCGGCCCCGGUAACCGGGGACACGGGGGAGAGCGGCUGUGGCCUAACUCUGCCUAAAACAAUUGUAAUGCUGUGGGCGCUGUAAUGAACAGGGAGGGGAUUCGGCUAAAAGCCUCCCGCUACUCCUGAAAGCACCGUUUGCUGUACAAGAGCAAGAGCCUGGGUCGUUCUUUUGGCCUGGCUGGCCAUUACUCUGCUUGGUCAAGGAGCUUUAAGCCCACACUAGGAAAUUUCUGAGUUUUUUCUCGGUAUGAUAGCUGCUAUCAGCAGAGUCUGUGGUUGCUGGAAAAACACAGAGGGCACUGGGCUUAUUUUCAAGGCUCCACCUGUUUUCCUUCCCUGCAACACAGCACCAGGGGUAGGACAUGGGACAGACAGGUGGCCUUUGACCCAGGCCAAGGGCUACUACAGCUCCUUCUUGUCCCUGACAGAGCACAGCACUCCUUGGUGACUUAGCCCAAAAGGACCCUACAGAAGCUGCUGCACAUUUCUGGGGGCAUGUCUGUAUCCUCUACCACAGCUGCCUGAUCAACCAGGAUGUCUGUAUCAAGCAGUGAAGAGGGUUUAGCUGCAGGAGCAAGCCCCUGCCAGACCCACCAGCCAAGCAGCCCCACAGAACUGUCAUUCCCAGCAUGGCCUUAGUGCCACACGGUGCCACCACUGUCACUGGGUGUGCCAGGCAGGGGCACAGCUCGAGCAGCCCCAGCUCACAUUAAGCACCCACUCUGUGGCUGGGAGUGACACAAGCACCACCCGAGCCCUGCUGCCCACACCGGGCUCCCAGUGCCCUGGGGCUCCCACCACCCUGGAGCAGCCCAGGCAGAGUGCAGCUGCUGCCUUUUGCUGCUGGGGCAGCACAGCAGGCUCCGCUCCACGCCCGGGAUCAUGAUGGUGACGAGUCACGCGCAGCCGGGUCCGGAGCUGGAUGGAGCCCAGGCAGGAUGGGAACGCUGCAGGCCCCACACACCCCCUCAGGCAGCACUCCCCAUGGCUUGCUCAGACCGAAUCAUCACUGUCACCACAACAAUACAAAUCAGCCAGAAAUAACAACCUGGCUGGGGUAGAACUUGGCUUUUAUUCUCCAGCGCACUUCUCCAGAGACAGCAGAAAAAGAAACAGCUCAAUUUUUGGGACAGCACAUUCAGCAAAACAAGACGGGGAAAAUUAUUUU